AAGAAAGGAGAGAAGGGCACAUGAAGGAUGCCUGGGCUCUCGGAGGCGACGAAGGACGUGAUAAGCUGCGAUAAGCCGCGGGGAGGAGCAAAUAUCCCCUGAUCCGCGGAUCUCCGAAUGGGGCAACCCGUGCCGGGCAGCCGGCACAUCCGCAUCAAGUGCGGAGGCGAACCCGGGGAACUGAAACAUCUCAGUACCCGGAGGAAGAGAAAAUAAACCAAUGAUUGCGCCAGUAGUGGCGAGCGAACGCGCAAGAGCCCAAACCGGCGGUGUUUCGGCACCGACCGGGGUUGUAGGACCGUCAGCGAAUGGACAGUAUGAAGUUAGCCGAAGCGCCUGGAAAGGCGCGCCGCAGCGGGUGAAAGCCCCAUAGGCGAAAACGGAAGACUGACAGAGACGGCACCUGAGUAAGCCGGGACACGAGGAAUCCUGGCCGAAUCCGCGGGGACCAUCCCGCAAGGCUAAACACUACCGAGAGACCGAUAGCGAACCAGUACCGUGAGGGAAAGGUGAAAAGAACCUCGAACAGAGGAGUGAAACAGACCCUGAAAUCAUGUGCCUACAAGCGGUCGGAGCCACUUCGUGUGGUGACGGCGUGCCUUUUGCAUAAUGAACCUACGAGUUACCGUCGCCGGCGAGGCUAAGACCCGCAGGGUCGGAGCCGGAGCGAAAGCGAGUCUGAACAAGGCGCAUUUAGUCAGCGGCGGUAGACGCGAAACCAAGUGAUCUACCCUUGAGCAGGUUGAAGGUGGGGUAACACCCACUGGAGGACCGAACCGGUAAGCGUUGAAAAGCUUUCGGAUGACUUGAGGGUAGGAGUGAAAGGCCAAUCAAACUUGGAGAUAGCUCGUACUCCCCGAAAUGCAUUUAGGUGCAGCCUCGGGCGCAGUACCGUGGAGGUAGAGCGACUGAUAGGAUGCGAGGGCUUCACCGCCUAUCAAGUCCUGACAAACUCCGAAUGCCACGGCACGAUCCCCGGGAGUGAGGGCGCGGGUGCUAAGGUCCGCGUCCGAGAGAGGAACAACUCAGACCACCGUCUAAGGCCCCGAAAUCCGGGCUAAGUUGAAGACAAUAACGAGGUGGGACCGCAAGGACAGCUAGGAUGUUGGCUUGGAAGCAG
rnacentral:rRNA from 1 species